rnacentral:rRNA from 1 species
AGUCGAUGGGAAACAGGUUAAUAUUCCUGUACUUGGUGUUACUGCGAAGGGGGGACGGAGAAGGCUAGGCUAGCCGGGCGACGGUUGUCCCGGUUUAAGCGUGUAGGGGGUGUGACCUGGUAAAUCCGGUUGCAUACUAACCCUGAGGCGUGAUGACGAUGCACUACGGUGCAGAAGUAGUUGAUGCCCUGCUUCCAGGAAAAUCCUCUAAGCUCCAGGUAACAUUAAAUCGUACCCCAAACCGACACAGGUGGUCAGGUAGAGAAUACCAAGGCGCUUGAGAGAACUCGGGUGAAGGAACUAGGCAAAAUGGUGCCGUAACUUCGGGAGAAGGCACGCUGGCAUGUAGGUGAAGUCCCUUGCGGAUGGAGCUGAAGCCAGUCGAAGAUACCAGCUGGCUGCAACUGUUUAAUAAAAACACAGCACUGUGCAAACACGAAAGUGGACGUAUACGGUGUGACGCCUGCCCGGUGCUGGAAGGUUAAUUGAUGGGGUCAGCCGCAAGGCGAAGCUCUUGAUCGAAGCCCCAGUAAACGGCGGCCGUAACUAUAACGGUCCUAAGGUAGCGAAAUUCCUUGUCGGGUAAGUUCCGACCUGCACGAAUGGCGUAAUGAUGGCCAGGCUGUCUCCACCCGAGACUCAGUGAAAUUGAACUCGCUGUGAAGAUGCAGUGUACCCGCGGCAAGACGGAAAGACCCCGUGAACCUUUACUAUAGCUUGACACUGAACAUUGAGCCUUGAUGUGUAGGAUAGGUGGGAGGCUUUGAAGCGUGGACGCCAGUCUGCGUGGAGCCAUCCUUGAAAUACCACCCUUUAAUGUUUGAUGUUCUAACUCGGCCCCAUAAUCUGGGGUGAGGACAGUGUCUGGUGGGUAGUUUGACUGGGGCGGUCUCCUCCCAAAGAGUAACGGAGGAGCACGAAGGUUAGCUAAUCACGGUCGGACAUCGUGAGGUUAGUGCAAAGGCAUAAGCUAGCUUGACUGCGAGAGUGACGGCUCGAGCAGGUACGAAAGUAGGUCUUAGUGAUCCGGUGGUUCUGAAUGGAAGGGCCAUCGCUCAACGGAUAAAAGGUACUCCGGGGAUAACAGGCUGAUACCGCCCAAGAGUUCAUAUCGACGGCGGUGUUUGGCACCUCGAUGUCGGCUCAUCACAUCCUGGGGCUGAAGUAGGUCCCAAGGGUAUGGCUGUUCGCCAUUUAAAGUGGUACGCGAGCUGGGUUUAGAACGUCGUGAGACAGUUCGGUCCCUAUCUGCCGUGGGCGUUGGAAGAUUGAGAGGGGUUGCUCCUAGUACGAGAGGACCGGAGUGAACGCACCACUGGUGUUCGGGUUGUCAUGCCAAUGGCAUUGCCCGGUAGCUAAGUGCGGAAAAGAUAAGCGCUGAAAGCAUCUAAGCGCGAAACUUGCCUCAA